rnacentral:rRNA from 1 species
AGCGAACGCUGGCGGCAUGCCUAACACAUGCAAGUCUGACGGGCGCGGGGUUUCGGCCUUGCGUCAGUGGCGGACGGGUGAGGAGCGCGUAGGAACGUAUCCGAGGGUGGGGGACAACCGCGGGAAACUGCGGCUAAGACCGCAUGGGGCUUGAGGGCCAAAGCCGGGAGACCGGCGCCCACGGAGCGGCCUGCGUCCGAUUAGCUUGUUGGCGGGGUAGCGGCCCACCAAGGCUUCGAUCGGUAGCUGGUCUGAGAGGAUGAUCAGCCACACUGGG